ACGAUAAGUGUGAAUUUCUUUUUAUGAAAAUAGACUUGGCCACACUCUAUCAAAUCCAUUGUGCAUUAUUGGAUCUGCAACGUGAGUUCGUCAAAUUGUGAUCUCGUUCCGAUUGAUCUCCGCGAUCGAAAUCGUGCAAGUUAUAGAGCUUGUGAAGAAGAUAAACAGUAUCAAAGAUUGUUUGAAUCGAACUCUGAAAGAUGCAUAAUCGGAGAUGAUCAAAGUGAAUUUGUUUUUAUGAAAAUAGAUUUGGCCACGCAGUAUGAAACCCAUUAUGGCAAAGAUUAAAUUCACCCCCGACGACGAAAGGACGUACCCGACGGAAAAGGAAAAGGAUUCUCACUCCAUUGCUCAACAGUUGUUAACAGGUAUAAUGUGAAAAGUGAUAUCAGUUUCCUCUUAAUUCCAGUGGGCUGCAUAUCACAAGAUAGGGGGCAUUUGAUAUAAACUGAAGGUCAUCGCAAGUGGAAGGUGACAUCUCUAAAUUUGUACCGAAGUAUGUUGCAAGGUUUUUUUUGUUCGUAUAUAGUGGUAGAUUACAAGUCAACUGAAAAGAGGGGACCAGUGUUGGAUUCAAACGAUUCGAUAUUGUCUCAAACUCAUUUCUUUGUUCAGCAGAGGAGGAAAUCAGAGCAGAAAUCUCGAUAUGUCAGUUGGAGAUCUUCCAUGUUUUUUACUGUUCUCAUCCCUGCUGUUAUAGGUAACCACUUCAAUUAGGCUUUUUUUUCUUAUCGUCAUCUAGUUCGAAAUCGUUCCUGACCUCUGCUGAGCUGAACCAUGCGUGUGAGUUUUGAUUUUCACAUUCUUCAUGAAUUUAGUUUGUCGUAUAAGAGUUGCUAAUGAUCACUACCAAAAACAGUUUGCAAUUUUUUGGCCAUGAUUAUGUAGCUAUUUGUUCAGGAUAUUGAUGGUUAUUCGCUCAGAGGUAGUGUGUAGUUUACUAGUUUAGUGCUUAUCUUAUGUAAUUUUAUACAGGCAUUAUAAAUUGGUCGAGCUAAUAAUGGUUAUAUGCAAACUGCCUGCGGACUAAUACUGACUCGAUUAGAAGUUUCGCAUUGUAGGAUUAGAAGUAUAUGGUGGUCCAGACUUAGAAUUUGCUUCUUCCUAGGUUUCAAGUUCAAAACCUAAUCAACUUAUAUGGGGCCAUUCCAUAUGGGGCUUUGCUCCGACUUUAAGCUAGUGGACAAUGGGAUUGGUAUCCUGGAGAUUAGCGGAUGUGCGAGCUGGCCCUGACAUUCUGAGCUUAAAAAAAGUAUCGCAUCGUAAGGCAAGCUGGCAAGGGCUCUUUUUUUGAAGUUGAACGAGGAGAAAGAAUAACGCUAUUCAACAAAACAACAAGCUUCGCCACGAACUGGAACUUUUGAAGCAAGGAAGUGCAAAAUGCAGAAGUGGAUUAUAUUGGCUUGCUUGGUUUAUAAUGGGAUAUCUCAUUAAGAAUUCAUGAGCGAACCUGGGUUUAAAUUUGCUAAAGCAUAAUCCGUAGUAUACGAUUUUGCUUUCGAUAGAGUUAUUAAUCACAUUUGGCUUCAGGAAUUAUACGUCGAAGGAAGUUCCAAACACUUGUAAUUGUGAACAUUAUGUGACGAUGUAAUCCAAUACUUUGUUGUAAUGUUAACACAAGUUUUAUACAGUGUUUACCAAA